GGAAUCUUAGACAAUGGGCGCAAGCCUGAUCUAGCCAUGCCGCGUGAGUGACGAAGGCCUUAGGGUCGUAAAGCUCUUUCGCCAGAGAUGAUAAUGACAGUAUCUGGUAAAGAAACCCCGGCUAACUCCGUGCCAGCAGCCGCGGUAAUACGGAGGGGGUUAGCGUUGUUCGGAAUUACUGGGCGUAAAGCGCACGUAGGCGGAUUAGAAAGUUGGGGGUGAAAUCCCGGGGCUCAACCCCGGAACUGCCUCCAAAACUACUAGUCUAGAGUUCGAGAGAGGUGAGUGGAAUUCCAAGUGUAGAGGUGAAAUUCGUAGAUAUUUGGAGGAACACCAGUGGCGAAGGCGGCUCACUGGCUCGAUACUGACGCUGAGGUGCGAAAGCGUGGGUAGCA
rnacentral:rRNA from 1 species